rnacentral:rRNA from 1 species
CAGCCGCCACGGUAAAACGUAGGUGGCAAGCGUUGUCCGGAAUUAUUGGGCGUAAAGCGCGCGCAGGCGGAUCAGUUAGUCUGUCUUAAAAGUUCGGGGCUUAACCCCGUGAUGGGAUGGAAACUGCUGAUCUAGAGUACCGGAGAGGAAAGUGGAAUUCCUAGUGUAGCGGUGAAAUGCGUAGAUAUUAGGAAGAACACCAGUGGCGAAGGCGACUUUCUGGACGAAAACUGACGCUGAGGCGCGAAAGCCAGGGGAGCGAACGGGAUUAGAUACCCGCGUAGUCCUGUCUCUUAUACAC